UAACGCGUGAGGAACCUGCCUCAAAGAGGGGGACAACAGUUGGAAACGACUGCUAAUACCGCAUAAGCCCACAGCUCGGCAUCGAGCAGAGGGAAAAGGAGCAAUCCGCUUUGAGAUGGCCUCGCGUCCGAUUAGCUAGUUGGUGAGGUAACGGCCCACCAAGGCAACGAUCGGUAGCCGGACCGAGAGGUUGAACGGCCACAUUGGGACUGAGACACGGCCCAGACUCCUACGGGAGGCAGCAGUGGGGAAUAUUGCACAAUGGGGGAAACCCUGAUGCAGCGACGCCGCGUGGAGGAAGAAGGUCUUCGGAUUGUAAACUCCUGUUGUUGAGGAAGAUAAUGACGGUACUCAACAAGGAAGUGACGGCUAACUACGUGCCAGCAGCCGCGGUAAAACGUAGGUCACAAGCGUUGUCCGGAAUUACUGGGUGUAAAGGGAGCGCAGGCGGGAAGACAAGUUGGAAGUGAAAUCUAUGGGCUCAACCCAUAAACUGCUUUCAAAACUGUUUUUCUUGAGUAGUGCAGAGGUAGGCGGAAUUCCCGGUGUAGCGGUGGAAUGCGUAGAUAUCGGGAGGAACACCAGUGGCGAAGGCGGCCUACUGGGCACCAACUGACGCUGAGGCUCGAAAGUGUGGGUAGCAAACAGGAUUAGAUACCCUGGUAGUCCACACCGUAAACGAUGAUUACUAGGUGU
rnacentral:rRNA from 1 species